GAGUUUGAUCAUGGAUCACAUUGAACGCUGGCGGCAGGCUUAACACAUGCAAGUCGAACGGUAAAGUAGCUUGCUACUUACGAGUGGCGGACGGGUGAGUAACGUAUGGGAAUUUACCGAAUGGAGGGGGACAACAGUUGGAAACGGCUGCUAAUACCGCAUAACGUCGAGAGACCAAAGGGUUUCGACUUGCCAUUUGAUGAGCCCAUAUGAGAUUAGCUAGUUGGUGUGGUAAUGGCUCACCAAGGCGACGAUCUCUAGCUGGUUUGAGAGGAUGACCAGCCACACUGGGACUGAGACACGGCCCAGACUCCUACGGGAGGCAGCAGUGGGGAAUAUUGCACAAUGGGGGGAACCCUGACGCAGCCAUGCCGCGUGUAUGAAGAAGGCCUUAGGGUUGUAAAGUACUUUCGUGGAGGAGGAAGGGUUUACGUAAUCGUGGACAUUGACGUUACUCCAAGAAGAAGCACCGGCUAACUCCGUGCCAGCAGCCGCGGUAAUACGGAGGGUGCGAGCGUUAUCGGAAUGACUGG
rnacentral:rRNA from 1 species